rnacentral:SRP_RNA from 1 species
GCCAGGUAUGGUGGUGCACACCUGUAGUCCCAGCUACUCGGGAGGCUGAGGCAGGAGGAUCAUUUGAGCCUGGGAGGUCGAGGCUGCAGUGAGCCGUGACUGCACUACUGCACUCCAGCCUAAGCAACAGAGUGAGACCCUGUCUCAA